GUGUGGACACCGGUAGAGGCGUCACGCGUGGGACGCUUGGUCGACAAUUUUAAAUAUUCCAGCCCCGUGGAACUAGCAACAACAACCAGAGAAGGUGUAAAAAGUCACGGAGCUUGUGUGUCCUUUGUUCGUGUGGGAUUUUGUGUAGUGGGCGCCGAACUACUCAGGGAUUGACACCACUAGGGCGUGGUGUGGGUUGAAGGCAUUGUUGUUGCUGAGGUACUGACACCACAAGGGGAUGUGGUGUGGGGUGAAGGCGACAUAAGGCGUUGGGACCGCUCCAUGGACAAGCCCGCAACGAGGACGUUUGCUAAUUGGGUGAGGGAGAUUGUCACGGGCCGGUAUUCCGAUCCCUCCCCAAGUACAUGCUCCGGGUAUUGUACAUCAUAUCGGUUGGAUAUCUAUAUUAGCUUGUCAAUCUUGAGGAAGGCUGGUCCGGGGAGCCUCGGUGCUCGUAUCCCCGAACGCCCGCACGAGCAUCAAACUCUGUGCCCGUGACACAUGCAUGUAAGACUCGAAUAAUAACUAAAAUAACUUAAUUGGACCACGAAGUGAACCAUGAUUUGUUAUAUAUAUAUAUAUAUAUACAUGCUCUGCAGAGUCCUAGCUCAUCAAAAAUAUGCUAAUUAGAAUUAAAAGAAGGUGUAGAGUAAUAGCGUACACACUCAUUCGUCGAUCUAGAGAUUACAGGUUCGAUACCUAGUGAAAUUACCCGUGCCUCUUUAUUAGUUAUUUAUGAUCUUUCUUUCAUUGUACUAAGUAUUAUGUCUCCUUUUUAAGAGAAAAAAAUAUUAAUUAGAGAUAUGUUAUAAAUGCAUAGCAUUAAGGCGUAAA